AAAAAUCCGCACAUAUGUCGUCACGUUACUCUGGGUGCCUUUUAUAAAGGUGGAGAAUGCUGGACAUAUGGAGGCCUAAC
rnacentral:sRNA from 1 species